GGCAGCCAGGAGAGGGGGUGGUGGAAGAGGAGGAUUCAAAGUCUAGUAUAGGAAAAACAUAAAGAGAAAGGGAAAAAAGGGAACAAAAUACUGAUUUACAUCUUCCUAUGGAAGGUGGGAGAGAAAAAGAAUUAUAAAUCCAUAGAACAAGACUUUAAUGGAAUCCACACAGGGCAGAAUCAGCAGGCUAACUGAUAUGAAAGCCUGCUUCUACAAAUUCAUCUCUUGUUCUCCUUUAAAAUAUUAAAGCCAAAGCAACCUUUUCAGCAAGCAGAUCUCCUGCCAAUUCCAAAGGCUCUACUUCUAACUUUCAAACUAGCAAGGUUGGCAGCCUCAUCCUCUACUUCCAAUUCCCUGAACCCACCAACAACAGAACAGCAUCUAGUCCUGGCUGGAGUGCAGUGGCACAAUCAUGGUUUACUGCAGUCUCAACCUCCUGGGCUCAAGUGAUCCUCCUGCCUCAGCCUCCCGAGUAGCUGGGACUACAGGCAUGCACCACCAUGCCCAGCUAAUUAAAAAAAAAUUUUUUUUUUGUAGAGACAGGGUCUUUCUAUGUUGCCCAUGCUGGUCUCGAACUCCUGGCCUCAAGUGAUCCUCCUACCUCAGGCUCCCAAAGUGCUGGGAUUAUAGGCAUGGGCCAUCACACCCAGACUAAAAUUUUAAAAUUUGGAAUGCAAUCUGUUUAUAAAUUGGCCAUGAGUGGUAUUUACCUUUAUUGACCUGACUACCUUAUAAUACCUUGCAGUUAACCACCUCUUGGCUGGUCCAGAGGAUCGGGGAUUAUUCAUCACUUGUUUUAAAAGGCCUUCUGCCAUUAUGCAGAAGAUACGAGACUAAGAUCUUCAACCUCCUCCCCUACAAAGAGAUUUUUAAAAAAUCACUACUAUUAAUAGUUUGAUGUCUGAAUUAGAUACAUGUAAUACCAGUAUUGCUCAUAAUGUUGGAUAUUUAAAAUUUUAACUGUUACAUGUGAAAUGUAUGGGACAAUGUUUAUAACUUCGUUCUGCAUAAAAGAUUUAAAAAUCUCAAUUCAUGAAAAAAAGCAUUGGAAAUAAUUUUCAUUUUUUAUUCUACUGGUGGCAUUUAUUGCCUAUAAAUCUAUACCAUGAAAAGCCUGCCUUCUUUUCUACCAAGCUGUGUGCCAUUGCUGUUAAUAGUACUCACAGUCUUCGGAACCAAUUCAAAUUUUAAAUAGAAUGCUUGACACAAUUAAUAUAAGAUGCAGAGGGCUCCUGCUACUGAGAUUUUCCACUUAAACCUGACAUAUUAAAUCUAAAACAUUUCUGCCAACCUACCAGGCACUCUGAGAUCUAGACAUCUCCUGGGAUGACAGACAGGUUUGUUUAUAAUUAGUUUUUCAUUAAAUGAAAUUGGCACAGUAGACAUACUGUUUAAUCAACCUUCCUCUUGCUUAACAUGCAGGUUUUCUUAUAUAAUCCUAAAAUAAAAUGGCUGAAUGUAAAUUAAUUUUUGUAUAUCCAUGUUCUCUUGUGACCUGUCCCAUUGAUUUGCCUCAGAGUGAGCCUCCAGGUAAGAGUAACUGGCCAUUUACUACAUUGUAUAAUUUUCAGCCCACAAGAGCUAAAAUUAAGCCAGCCUUAUGUCUUUUCCCACUACAGGUUGAAUAUCCCUUAUCCAAAUGCUUGUGACCAGAAGUGUUUCGGAUUUUGAAUUUUUUUAGAUUUUAAAAUAUUUACUUCACCAGUUAAGCAUCCCAAAUCCAAAAAUCUGAAAUCCGAAAUGCUCCAAUGAGCACUUCCUUUGAGCUUCAUGUUUGCACUCAAAAUGUUUCAGAUUUGGGAGCAUUUUGGAUUUCAGAUUUGAGAUGCUUAACCUAUAAUUAAAUUUUCUAUUAUCUGAAAAGUUAAGUCCUUUUCUUUCCCUUAAGAAAUCAAGUUAGAAUUUUAUCAUGCAAGGCACUCAUCUGGAAAUGAAAAUAUCAACUCAUUGUGUAUGUGUACUGUGAGUGGGAAGGAAAGGAGAGAGUCUCCCCUGGAGAUGAGAGGUCAUGAUGGUUAAGGAAGUUGGCUCUGGUCAAAUAUCCAGGGCUAAUAGAAUCUCAGGGAAACCAAAUUUCACUAAAAGUUAACUGAAAUUCAUCUUCUCCCCAGAUGAAUCCAGGCAUCUUCUCCUUCGCCAAGCAGCUGUACUAUCAAGAAAGUUGUAACUGUUCAGGAAACAUUAAAAACGAAAAUAAAACAAACAAACAAAAAACACCUUUAACCUCUAGCUACAACAUUAUUAGCUUCCAUUUAAAUACAAGAACAUGCUUAACUCUAAAAUGUUUUCAAAAGCCUAAGUCAAGCUAGGUAAUAACUCUACAUUUAUUUAUAUCCCACCUUGUUUCUAAAUCAGUUUUCAAUUAUUUAUAGAUGUAUCAAGACAAAAUAAAUAACAAAUAGGAAAAACAAGGCAAAUGGAAAAUAAGAACAAUAAAACUAGCCGGAGCCAACAUUUUGACUAAUUAUGUUGUGGAGUCUUUGCUGGAGGGGCUACAAAUCUGGUCCUAAGCACUCUAGCAGAGGGAAAUAAAAUCUUUACAACAUGUAUAAAACCCACAACCUAAAAACAAACCAGCUGCUUAGAAGCCUCCCUAUUCCUGGUACAGACAGCAAAGAAAACUGUAACAAAGUAAACCAGGCCCAACUUGCAACAGCCCUCAACCGAGCCCAAAAAGGAGAUCAAUAAUGUUCAUCCCUUUCUAUGAUCUAACUCUGUGAAGUAGAUACUUAUUUUAUGGCUAGGGUUACUGAGGCUUAAAGAGGCAGAGUACCUUUUCCAUGGUCAUAUAACAAAUAAAUGGCAGAGCUGGGCUUCAAACCCUGACUGUUUCACCACAGGCCUGCACCCCCAUCAUCAGGACACACCAAUGGCAUUCUCUGCAAACAGCACAACUUACGACUGUGGGCAGGCAGGGUGAUGCAAUUGGUGUAGGUACUAGGGCAAUCUAAUUUAAUGAUCUUUUCUAUCGUAAUUCAACUCAGCACUGGAGCAAAUAGAAAAUAUAAGCCAAAGCUUUGGCCUGGAUGAGAGAUGUCUCACAACUGCUAGUUCCUUGCUUAUAAUUUUAUGAAACAAGGUCUUAAACAACAGUCUUUCUCUACUACCGAAGGUUGCAUUUGCUUGUUGCUUCCCUUUUAAUUUUCUUUCCAGAAUGGCCCUCUUCUUUGUAUCUGUAUCUCCUGGCUACCCUAAUUCUCCCUAUUAUUUUCCCAUUUGGAUGUUUUUAAGCAAUUAGCCGUUUAGACUCUAUCUGUAGGAUGUCAUGUUUUCAGAAGGGAAAUCAACAUAAUCUAAGGGGGCCUUCCAAGACUGAAGGUGCCUUUAAACAGCCACAGCUACAGACCAUAUGGACACAAGACAAGAAAUUAAAUAAUGAAUCUUUAAUGUAGAGAUUUGGUAUCGGAUCUGUCAUGUGACUCAAAGUAAACCAUUCACCUUCAGGACCUGCUUCCUUAGUAUUUUCAUAAAUGUGUCCUUAUAAGAAAUAAGCAGGAUCUAGAAACUCAAAAGAAAUAAAGGUUAAGCUUCAGAAAAUCAGGUUGAACUUUAAUGAAAAUUAAAUGUAUUUUUGAGUUCUUCUAAUAGCUUCAGGCCACUGAUCCUCACUGUUAAAAAUUUUGCAGGAUGCAGGCAAGGGACUUUCUAAUGUUUUGUUAAGAUUAACAGAGAUAAUAGAUGAAAGAUAGAUACCCACCUCACCUAACAAGUAUGAACAUACGCUGCAGGUGUUAGGAGGUGGAGUGUGCCAGAUUAACAUGACUAAAGACCUAAAAGAGAAAUAAAAAUGGGAGAAACUAUACUCACUCCAAGGGCAGCUUGGUAGGGAACAUCUGAUGGGAAAGUAAACGAGGGGCCAGUUGUCACUGGGCUGCUUGGGGGCGGGGUCACAAUUAACCCGGUGGUACUUAUAUGAACCUGCCGAGAAAAGAAAAGUUAUUAAAAAGAAGACUAUGUUUAAUACAACAGAAUAUACUGGCUAAACCUUAGAAAGGCAAGUCACAUUAAAAAAAAAAAUCUGUACUUUCUGUUAUUUGGGGAAGGUAGAAUCCCUUUUAGUCUGCUCAACCCAAAUUUACCAGUGACCUAAUUUGAACCAGGCAUUUUACUAGAUGCUGGGGAGUGAUGUGAUAAAUACUGGUCACAACAGUGUCUUACCUACAGAAUUCAACUGCCAUUGGCUUUCACGGUAACACAUUGCCUCAUUUGGUACGCCACCAUGAAUCAAACUGGCCUUCCAAUGGACAGCCUGGUGCUCAACUAGCCUCCUAACAAUUUCCCUGAAGAUCCUGUUAAGGUGGGUAGUGGCUGAACACUCACCUGUCUAUCAAUACGUUAAAUCUAUGUGAAAUUCUUCAGGUAUUUUGCUAUUUUCAGGAUCAUUUUUCAUGACUUCUACCUUUCGGUGGGGAUGCAUAAUUAAAAUGCAGCUGCCUAGACAUGCUUAGAGCGGGCAAUUACUUAUAAAAUCUUUAAAGGAACAAUGUCAAGCCAAAUUAGUUGUUUUCAAAGGUGUCUUAUCCAUGAUACAACCCAAGAUUAAUUUACUAGAAAGAAAUUGAGUUAUUCAGGUCAUUUCAUUGCCUGUGUUAAGUUACUCGAUCAAUUUCACUCAGGUUGCAUAGCAGGUCCAACUGCAGAAUGCAGUGGUGUUACUAGAAGCUACAGAAGUAGGGGGAUGGGUUCCUGCACAAAUGGAAGUGUUUCUUCCCCUCCAGUGUGAAUAGAAGCAAUGUGGUUGGCUGGUACCUGCCUCCCUAAGAAAACAAUAACCCACCCAAAAUGCUAGGUUUUAUAAUAAAAAUGUAAUCCCAAACAUAGUUUUCUCAGUUCCCACACAUUGAAAGAAAGAUUGUCAGGACAAAGAAAAGCUCAGAGGUUAGUUCCCAGAGGACCUAAUGGAAACUUUCAGUUUCCCACUGGGGUAGGCCCGACCAAAGCCAGGCAUAAUCAGCAUCAUGGCAUGUAAUUUAUUUUCACAAAUAAAUCUAUGCUAUACAUGGAAUCUGCAAUCUUUUAAAAUUCAUCUGUAUCUAUUAGUCUAUAUAUUGAUUGAACUAAAGUUUGAAACUAAGUAGAUCCAGGGGGUGGCACUAAAAAGAGUUUCUCCCCAAACCCAGUUUCUUCCUUUUCUUCUUCUCCUCAUUAUUUUUUAUUAGACAGGGACUCACUAUGUCACACUUCUUAUUAGACAGAGUCUCACUAUGUUGAGCAGGCUGGUCUUGAACUCCAAACCCUCAUUUUCUAUUUUUCCUGUGAACCAAAGUCUAUUUCCAACCUAUUUCUAACGGGAAGCACACUGGUUUCAAAGUGGACAUGAGGCAGGAGAAUAGGGUCUGAAGGCAGGGAACCUAAGGCUGUUUCACGCUGACUUCCCAGAACUAAACUGAAAAGAAAACCUUAACUUUCCACGCCUAAGUAACAAAUGGACCAAAGGCAACUUUGCAAACCCCCACCUUUUCUGAACCGCAGGUGGGAAACUGAAAGUACCUCUGACUGGUUGCUUUCUGUAACCAAUCAGCCAUUUGCAUAGGAGUAUAACUUUGUAACUUCACUUCAGCCUCUGAUUGGUUGCUGUCCUCAACCAUUGAUUGUGGGCCAAGUCUUUGUUUGCAUAGAAGUGCAACUCUGUUAACUUCACUUUAGCCUCUGAUUGGUUGCUUUCCCCAACUACUGAUUGUGGGCCAGCACUUCAUUUACAGGUGGUGAAUACCAAGUGUCCAAUGGGAAACCUCUAGAGGGUAUUUGGGCCUGAGAAGACUCGGUAUCCAGGGCCCUUGAGCCGCUGCUCGGGCUGCUCCCACACUGGCGUGUACUUUCAUUUUUAACAAAUCUCUGCUUUUGUUGCUUCAUUCUUUCCUUGCUUUGUGUGUUUUGUCCAAUUCUUUGUUCAAAACGCGAAGUACAUGGACACCCUCCACUGGUAACAGACAUUAUUAUCAAGGAACCCUUGGGGCAGAAAAAAACUUACCAAAAUACAACUUCCUGGGCCUGACCCUAUACAUAUCUGAGAAAGAUAUCAUUAUUGAUUGACAUUUCUCUAAAAGCCCAGAGUGGGAGACAGAAUAAUUAGCUGUUAAUGACCUCAUGGUUUUGGGAUAAGUCCCUUCAUGUCUCUAGGCCCCUGUGAGCAGGUGGACCAGAGGCUACCUAAGGUGUCUGCCAUCACAGGCACUUCAGGGAAGCACUGACAUGGAGAAUCCUGCAAGUACCCCUUCAAUACAGGGCUUUCCUAGCACUGCAGCAAAGGAAGAGACAAAGUCACCAAAGAAUGACUAAACGCAGAAGGACAAAAAGUAGAAGUAAACCAGUCUGAAGGGUGAGUAUGUCUAGAAUAAAUGCCCUGAAUAGGGACAACCUGAGUUUCUGCUGGGCUUACCCUUUUCUCAUGGAACUGCAAAAAUUAGUUGUCUCCUCUGCAAGAAAGGCUAAGUAAGGUGGGGAAGAGUUGGGGUAAGCAAAAAGGAGGUGGGGGUGGGGGUUUAUUGCUUUCCCUGAGGCCACUGAAUACAAAGAUGCCAUAGAAACACUGAAUAUUAUGAAUCACUCCUCUGGAGGCCAAAAAAUAUCCUAAGUGUGGUCAGAGGAGGAGACAAAACAUCUUGGCUGCUUGUACCACCAUGUGCUUUUACAGACACUCAUGUCACAGUCACAGACACUCAUGAACAUCUAUCUGAUCUGGCGACCCACCUGGAAAGCACUGCCUAUAAGUAAUCUUUCAAUUUAUGUAUUUGAAAGUUCAGCCAUCACUCAAUAGUCACUAAAUAUAAUAGCAAGCAAGCCCUUUGGCUUCCAACUUGUCCCUUUCACCUUCCAGCUGCCAGCAAUUUGGACGUGACAGUGACAUCUCUAAUUGCCAUAUAGAAACCAGGGCAUAAGGACCCACUUAUAUGGUGUAGACAUGAGCUGGAAGGUGCCGAGGUCCCUAAUAACUUUGUGGUGCUAUUAUGCCAGCAUCCAACUGCCUAUAUCUAGAUUUCAUUGGGAUGAGAUAAAAAUGAAUACUAACAUUUUUAAGCCCCUUACUUUCAAUUUUCUAAUCAAUUCAGCCAAACUUAAUCCUAACUAUACUAAAAAACUACAAAAAUUAGACGGGUGUGGUGGCACACACCUGUAAUCCCAGCUACUCAGGAGGCUGAGGCAGGAGAAUUGCUUGAACCUGGGAGGCGAAGGUUGCAGUGAGCCAAGAUUGUGCCACUGCACUCCAGCCUGGGAGACAACAGCAAAACUCCAUCUCAAAAAAAGAAAAAAAAAAGAGGCUGUGCGUGGUGGCUCACACCUGUAAUCCCAGCACUUGGGGAGGCUGAAGUAGGUGGAUCACCUGAGGUCAGGAGUUCGAGACCAGCCUGGCCAACAUGGUGAAACCCCAUCUCUACUAAAAAUAUAAAAACUAGCCGGGUGUGGUGGUGGCGCCUGUAAUCCCAGCUACUUGGGAGGCUGAGGCAGGAGAAUUGCUUGAACCCAGGAGACGGAGGUUGCAGUGAGCAGACAGUGCCACUGCACUCUAGCCUUGGUGACAGAGUGAGACUCCAUCUCAAAAAAAAAGAAAAGAAAAGGAAAGGAAAUUGUAGGCAAAGGUUAACAUGUGUAAGGAAAAGGAAGACAGCAAUCAGGUCAAUAGCAGGGAACAGAUUUAGCAAUGGGUCUCAGUUAAAUCUACAGCCAGGCUCUUUGCUGGGCAGGGGAAAAGGAGAGUCCUGUUUUAAAUGGUCUUACAUGAGCCAUUUCCCCAUACGCACUGAUCUCCAUGGUUGGAAGAGUUUUUGCACGUCACAAAUGCUACACAUGCUCAAUGCUCUAUUGUGGCCUGGGGUGCCCUCCAAUGUACACAGUGCCCUAGAUAAGUAGUGUUUUCUGUAAACCUCGGCUGGAGAAACCAGGCAGCACUUCAAACACCUCCCAGCCUCUUCUAGAAAUAACUUCUCCCUGAGGCAACACUCUGCCACUGAAAACAGAACAAACUGGAAUAUGGAAGGAGGGGUGGAAUGGUUGAAGGGGAAACUUUUAAUGGAACACAGAAAGAGCCUUGUUUCCUAAGCUACUUGAACCAAAACAAAAAUAGCUCUACUUUUAUAGUCUUCAUUCCCAGCUCUGGUGUGGUAACGUCAGGCAUGCUCACACCUGAAUGCUGAGCUCUCUGCAAAAGAUGAAAAUGCUCAGUAUAUCUUCUUUUCUCUUUUCAUUUUCUCUAAUGCCAAAAGAUUAUUGUCCACUCUCUUAAAGCUAUUCCCAUUCUGAGCUGUCACUAUUCUUGGCAGAAGCUUGUCUUUUAUUUCAAGACAACAUCAUUGUGCAAAUGUUGCUAGGUCCCAAGAUAAAAAGCACAGAAUCAAAAUGAUUCCAUUUUCUGUUAGUGAGUGGCCAUCUUCACUAGCUCCCUCCUUCAGAACCUUACUCAAAAAUCUUUAGUUCUGAACCUUUCUGGAUUAACCUCACUUUGCCCUUCCUACUCUGAUCUAUGAUCCAUGUCUUUUUCUCACACGGAUAUGAUUAGUUAAAUGUAAAAUGACAUGGUUCCCCUCUCUACCCAUUUUUCAAGUGACUCAUUCAUCCAACAAAUACAUGUUGAGUGCUUUCUGCAUGUCUUAUGUCUGCCACUUAGAAUAUAAUCAGUGUACAAAACAAAGACCCUUGCCUUCACUGCACUCAUGUUCUAGUUGUGCGUUGUGCGUGUCUUUAUUUCUCAAUAAGAGUUUCAUGGCCCUACCACCUAAAAAUGCCACAAAACAACAAUCCCACAAUCCCAUUCAGAAAGUGAAUGCAUUUAACUUGAAACACGCAGUAUAAAUCUAAAGGAGCAGGGUCAAAUAAAUGAGGCUGAGGCUGUGGCUCAUACUUGUAAUCCCACCACUUUGGGAGGCCCAGGUAGGAUGUUCACUUGAGGCCAAGAGCUUGUUACCAGCCUGGGCAACAAGGUGAGACCCCAUCUCUAUUAAAAACAAACAAACAAACAAACAUGAGGCUGAGAAAAAAAUGGCAAGGGAUAUCAAAAACUGUAUUUUACAUUUUCAUUCUGUGGUCCAAAAUAGGCACUUACUAGAAUGUAAACUUUUUGAGGACCAGGACUGGUAUUUCUUUCUUUUUCUUUAAGGGGACAUAAUUUCAUUUUAAUGUUUAAAGAAAAAAAAACCACCAUAGCUAUAUGGUGGAGCAGAAUGUAAAAUCUGCAUGAAUUUUCAAGAUGAAACAUGAGACUUGAAAGAAAUUCCUUCUGCUUGUGACAGGCAGCUUUGAACUAGAUUCUUUGACCUUUAAGUUGAACAAAAUACAGCCAUCACCUAAGUGGAUAAUGAUAGCAGCCCCGUGGCUUGGGCAGGGUUAUAAUUAGGUUCUUUUUGUAGUGCAGAAUUAAAGCCUAACACAGCAAAUUGCUAUAUUUUAGAUAUCAUGGUAUACACAGUGCCUAGAAGGGUCUAAUAGUAAAGUGCUCAAUAAAUGUCUGCCAAAUGAAUGAAUGAAUGAUUGAAUGAAUGCCCCAGUCAUCCCAUGUAUUUUUAUAAACCUAAGAAUAACGCGUGGCUAUUUUUUACAUACCAGUCCAAAGUUGUAAUGAACUAAUGAACUUAGAAAGUGUGAGGUCAAUUUCUAAUUUAAAUUAAAUGCUUCUUUCUGUCCUUGCUCUUUUUCUCUUCUCUAUAAUUCUGGGAAGCCUACAUAUUAAGGUAAGUUACAUAGAUACAAGCAACUACAAACGUCACGAGUUUGGACCAUGGCAUCUUAAAUCUGGGUGGAGAUAAAGUUUUAGUUGGCAAGAUCUCCCAAAGCAGUACUGUGAGAAAGUUCUGUAAGGCUGAGUGAUUGCUUGGUGAAACUGGUAAGUAUUAUAUAACUCAUCUUGUAAGUUCUGAUCUUUCCUUUGAAAAUGACAGAGUAGUUAGUUCUGGGUUGAUACACUCAAGUUAGCUUUCCCUUCUCCAUUUUUCCACUUACAAAAUGAAGACAGGUUUUGCUUCCCAGAAAAGUUACUAUCUUCAGAAGUUCAAAAUAAGCAAUGUUUGUCAGCCAGUGAGCAAACAUGUUUGUAAGUUGAUCCUUUUGUGGGUGAGCUCUUUUUAUAUAACACUUGUUUGAGGAUUUACCUGAGAAGGGGCACUGCAGGAGAGCCCAGACAGCUCGCUGAUCCGUGCAGCAGCA
rnacentral:lncRNA from 10 species